GCUGGGCAUGGUAGCACAUGCCUGUAGUCCCAGCUACUUGGGAGGCUGAGGCAGGAGAAUCACUUGAACCUGGGAGGUGGAAGUUGCAGUGGGGCAAUCUUGACUCACUGCAACCUCCACCUCCCAGGUUCAAGUGAUUCUCCUGCCUCAG
rnacentral:SRP_RNA from 1 species